rnacentral:rRNA from 1 species
GGCAAGAAUACCCGCUGAACUUAAGCAUAUCAA